rnacentral:rRNA from 1 species
CCUACGGGAGGCAGCAGUGGGGAAUAUUGCACAAUGGGGGAAACCCUGAUGCAGCGACGCCGCGUGAGUGAAGAAGUAUUUCGGUACGUAAAGCUCUAUCAGCAGGGAAGAAAAAAAGUCCUUUGGACUUUGGUCGGUACCUGCCUAAGAAUCCCCGGCUAACUACGGGCCAGCAGCCGCGGUAAUACGUAGGGGGCAAGCUUUAUCCGGAGUUACUGGGUGUAAAGGGGGCGUAGACGGCAGCGCAAGUCUGGAGUGAAAUGCCGGGGCUCAACCCCGGAAUUGCUUUGGAAACUGGGCAGCUGGAGUGCAGGAGAGGUAAGCGGAAUGCCUAGUGUAGCGGUGAAAUGCGUAGAUAUCAGGAGGAACACCAGUGGCGAAGGCGGCUUACUGGACUGUAACUGACGUUGAGGCUCGAAAGCGUGGGGAGCAAACAGGAUUAGAUACCCGUGUAGUC